UAAUUAUUGAUUUUCGACAGUUGAAAAUUGUCUAUAAAAUGUGAACUGUAUAAACCCUCAUUCAUUAAUACUGUUUGGAUAAUGUUAUUUUUCUAGGUAAAUAGCAAAGCAAUGAUGAUGUUUUCAGGCUUCGUGAGUGAUGAAAUUCAUGAAAACGUAUUCUGGCCAGAUUUACCUUAUGUAACUGAUGAACAUGGAAGUAAGAUAAUAAUCUUUUGUUUAUAAUUCUCAUGUUUAUUACGGGUAGCAAUUGUUUGGUUAAGCAGCAUUGUCGUUAAUACUUUUAUUUACUUAUUGUCAGAUAUAUACUUUCAAGUGAAGAAUGAUGAAGAUAUUUUGCAAACCUUAUCCACCGAGGAAAACAUUGUGGUAAGAUUUGUUCUAUAAAAUUGAUUCCGUUUAAUUAAUAAGUUAUUAUUUUGGGACACUAAAACUGUUUUUCUCCUAUGAAGUGUAAUACUCCUAUUGCUCGUCGUCUGUUAUGUUUUCUCCUAUAUAGGUCUAAUUAUUCCUAAAUUCUUUAAUGUUUUCUCUUUCUGGUGUUUAAUAUGUUAAAAAUUUCUGAUAUGGCAAACAUAAUGGUAUACAUCAUCUGUCUGCAGCUUGAAAAAAGUAAAAUUUUUUUAUCUUUUCUUCACUACAUGCAUUAUCCAACUUUAAAUGAUUGUUUUGAAGCCAUACUUGAUUUUAAAAAAUGCAGCAAGUUAUUAUUGGACUGGAUACUGCAGAGAUGAUUAGUGAGGUUGAGUUGCUAGGUCAUUCAGAAAUUGAUUUUGGCAUUGAUGAGUUAGAUGAUGAAGAUAGUGAUUUCCAUGAUGAAGAGGACGAUGACACUGAAAACGAUAACUAUGGAAAGGUGGUAACUUUUCCUUCAAUUCCCCCUUCAAGUUUCAGAUUGUAGUUUUCUGCAGUAUGUGGACAUUGAUAUUGUUCAUCUGCAGGACUGGGUUGGUGUUCUUGAUGAUGAAGAAGAAGAUCUGGAUGAGGACUCUGAUGGAUCCAUAGGGGACUGGGCUAAAUUGGAGACCAUGCGGUCUUCUCAUCCAAUGCAUUUUGCCAAAAAGCUAGUUGAGGUGACUCUCCUAAUCAAAUUUGCUACAUAGUGUAGUAUUAGAAAAGUAGAUCGAAAAAAGUGGAACAUGGAAUACCAUUCUACUAAAUUGACUUUCCGACUAAAAUUACUAUAAUAUUUUUGCCUUUAUUUUGUCAUCGUCAUAUUCCCUUCUCUAAUUUAAAAUGAAUCAAGUUAAUACACCAUCAUAUAUCCAUUUUUGUGAAUCUAUUUUUGUUACAGGUUGUGUCUGAUAAUCCAGAUGAAUAUAUGGAGCAGCCUUCUGCUGGUCUUGCCAUACAAGGCCUCCUAAGACCUGCAUUUAUUGAAGAACACUCUGUCAUCCAGAACCAUAAAUCUAGUGGUGCUGAUACUAAUUACAUUUCUGAAGAACAAAUUCAAGAAGCCAUUUUUCAGAUCAAUGGUCACAAACCCGAAAAUGAAACUAUGCAAGGUAGCCCAAAUUUGGCAGGGGAAUUGGAGAAGGAUGAAAUGCUGGGAAAUGGAACUUUAUUUUACAAGCUAGAGAUGAUUAAAAUUCAGUUAGUUUCAUCACAUGGACAUCCGGUACUUUUGAUUUUUCUUUGAGAAUCUCAAGAUUGCAUGGUGCUCUCAUUUCUUCUGACCUUUACUUCUUCAUAUUUAAACUUUUUUGGUUCUCAUACUUGAGAAAGCUGCUGAAUCUACUCUAUUUUCUGCCUCUUUUGUAACUCUGCAUGUUCACAACUAUGUUUUGAUAGCAAUCCUAAAGUUGGCAGAAGUCAUCCAUGCCAUUUAGUGAAAUUUCUUUCAGCAUAUAUAUGUUCCAUGUACACAAUAUAGUUAUCUGUGGCGUGUUUAUUUCAUCUAAUAUUAGAAUGGAGAUGAAAAGUUUUGCUUGAUUCCUCUUCUUUUUCUUAAAAUACUCUGCUUUCAUGUCCUUGCAAUUGUUUACUAUCAGAAAUGAUACGUAGGGACCUGAAAAGGAGUUGUAGAGGAUAGAUGAGGAAAAGAAGAUGAAGGAAAUUAUGCUAUCAAUUUUCCCAUUACCCCAUGUUGAAUGAAAAACGUUUAUUUCUCUUUCUGAAAGCAGUGGGCUUUAAAUGGCAAACAACGAUUGGGAUGAGAAUAUCCCCCAAAUAGUAGGGGGCAGCCUUCCGUUUGAUACUAAUAGAUAUAUCUUUUGUACUCAAGGUCCAUCUCAAAUAUCGUAAAUAUCAACACCUCAAAUGAUGAACCUUCUUAUCAUUAGGGCAUGUUCUUAACUUGAACCAACUGUUUGACUUGAGAAAUAACUUGACUCUGUGUUUGCAAGUAUGCUGCUGCAAUGACUUGGCUGUACAAAUUUGACAUCCCAGACUUUGUGUCAGAUGUAUUUGAACAAAUAUAGAUUGUAAUGUACUUGACAGUUGCCUUUCUAUGCUACGUAUACUGAUGCGAUUAAAUUUCAAAUAGUAUUACGCAUUGAAUGCACCACUUUGAGGUGGUCUAUCCUUUUGCUAUUAGGAUGGGAAAGCAUAAAUUACUUUUUUUGUUCUGUUUGUGCUUUCUACAGAAUUUUGUUGAUAUAGAAGAUUUUAUGAAAGCUCAACCUGAUGCAAUAGUACAUUCAGCUGCAAAAAUUAUAUCUCGUGUCAAAUCUGGUGGAGAAAAGACUACACAAGCUCUCAAAUCUCUGUGCUGGAGAUGCAAGGGUAUUCAAGUGGAGGUGACACAAUGGAGUUAUAUUAAUCUGUAAUUGUAUCAUGCCUGUUAACUUGAAGUAAACUUUGCAUUGUUUGUAACUUGGAAAAUUGACAUGAAAAUAAGAUUAUAAUUUCACCCAUUCUUUGGUGACAUUUACAGCAUGAAGAAAGUGAGAGGAAUCAAUAUCUACUUCUCCUCACCCAUCUCUUCAUGAACAAGGCCUUUUAAACUUAUUCCCUCCUGGAAACUUAGUACUUACUUUUGCGAGAUUAAUUUGUUAAGAAUUUAAAUUGUGUAUGAAAAGUUACGUUCAUAAUAUUGGACCCUCAUCCAGUUGACGUUCUAUAUACUCUCUUGCAAUAUAUUGUCUUGGAAUACAAGAGAAGGCCAUCUAACAUAUUAAGAGAGAGUCAGAAAAGUUAUUUUUCUGCAAGCAAGUUCUUUUGCUAAUUUUAUAUAUUGAAUUUGUGACAGGAGGUGGCUCUUAUAGGUGUAGACAGCCUUGGUUUUGACUUAAGAAUUUGCUGUGGAACACAAGUACAAACAUUGCGUUUUGCAUUUAAGAAGAGGGUAUAUACUUUUUGUUCUUUACUUUUAUAUUCCAUCAAUUUCAUAUGCUCGUACUCAUCUUGGACCCAUGUGUUUGCAAUGAAAGAACAAUCUCUCUUAUCGUGAUGCAUGGCCUGGACUAUAUACAAAAUAGUGAAAAUUACCUUUUUAUAUAUCUCUCUCCUCUCCCUCUUUAACAAGUUGAUUUCCAGGCCUCUUCGGAGUAUAGCGCUGAAAGACAGUUGAAUGAUCUACUGUUUCCAAGAGUCCACAAGUUUCAACAAAAGAAAGAAUCUCAACAGACUGAAUCAUAACAUAUAGGUAUUCAAGUUCAUUUCUGUUUGUUCACCUCGUGUGCAUGUUUUAAAAGUUGUAUGCGAACAGCACAAGGGGAAUUCUUUUCUUGUUACCAGUUUCCUUGUAUCUUAACUGCUAGGUGAUUACUUUUAUUCUCUCUAUUUUAUCCCGGCCUCAACUGUAUAAGCUGAAUUUUGGUUUUGAUUGUGCUAUUCUAAAGGCAUCCACUGUUUACGCUGCUUAUGUACUUCUUGAGACUGAUAUUAACCUAUUGUCUC
rnacentral:lncRNA from 1 species